UACGGAGGGUGCGAGCGUUAAUCGGAAUUACUGGGCGUAAAGGGUGCGUAGGUGGUUUGAUAAGUUAGCUGUGAAAUUCCCGGGCUUAACUUGGGGUGGUCAGCUAAGACUGUUGGACUGGAGUAUGGGAGAGGGUAGUGGAAUUUCCGGUGUAGCGGUGAAAUGCGUAGAGAUCGGAAGGAACACCAGUGGCGAAGGCGGCUACCUGGCCUAAUACUGACACUGAGGCACGAAAGCGUGGGGAGCAAACAGG
rnacentral:rRNA from 1 species